GGGCCUGUGGCGCAGCUGGAAGCGCGCCUGCAUGGCAUGCAGGAGGUCAGGGGUUCGAGCCCCCUCAGGUCCACCA
rnacentral:tRNA from 1 species